UUAAGGUGUUGUCAUUAGAACGUGGAAACAGUCAUCAUUCUCAUACAGCUGACAAUACGAGUCAACUGAAUCUUUGCGUGAUCCUGAUUAAUUGUAAAGUUGUGAUUUUUACCUGGGGUCAACUUGUACAACAAUUUAGUGUUAGUUAUUGUCUCAAAAGUAGCAUAUCGUCAUGUGAUUAGGAAAAAUGAUGAUACCUUUAUACAUUUCAAAUAAAUUUCCGCAAUGUAAUAUAUAUUAUAAAACAGCAAGAACUUUUUUCAUUCAUGUAUUGAAAUCCAUCAAACGGACACACUGUAUAAAAUGAAAAGUGAUCAAUUAGAACAGCUCACAAAUCAAUAAAACCAUGGAAGAUUCACCAAUGCACUGCUACCUAGAGACCGUAGUAGACAUGCAUCCCUGUCUUCAGCGCUGAUGGGCCUUUAUAUCCAUAUAUUCAACUCUGGUGUGUAUUUAUAUUCCAUUUGUCAAUUCUGGUGAGUAAAACUAUUUUCUCUCUCUAUGGAAUAGGCUGCUAUAAAGCAAAACAUCCUUUACGUAACUAUGUAAAAAGUUACACGUUUACUUGUUAUGUACAAGUUCACCUUUUGUUUGGUGUCUAUAAGGUAUGUGUUUAUGAUGGCGUAUUUUGUACGUCUGGAGAGAUGAGGGAUCGAAUAAAAAAUCACAUUAUUUUCAUGUUUAUUACACUUAUUACAAUGACGACAAUAAUCACAAACAUGUAAUACGGUAAGUUUUAAAUAUUAUUUUAUUAUUUAUUUCUAUUAUCGUAUUUGAACAUUUCAGGACAUCAGAAAAGAAGAAGAUGUGACUGUUGGGUAAACAAUGGCGUGGUCUGCUGUGGGUUUUUUCUUUGGAUCGGUGCCAGAUACUGACGGGCGGAUUAAAAUCCAGACACACAGAUGGGAUUCGAGCAUUCUACAUUCCGCACAUAAUUCAGAAGCUCUAUCCACUACGCCACUGGCGUUGAUGACAUCUGUUGAACAUAACCUGUUUGGAAGAUAUGAAAUCACUUCAAAUUCUGCUGGUUACACCAUCCCCAAAUAUAUUUCAAGGACAAUAUGUUGAGAAGGGUGUAUAAAUGAUGAAUACUGGAUAGCACGAGGUAAAUCGAGCACCAACUUAUGGAGGGAAAAUGGAUGUUUUAAAUUUUAAGAUUUUAUAUGAAACUGGCGAAAUGCUGAGGAUUUGAAUUAGAGACUAUCUUAAAACAUGUUAGAGUCAAAGAAUAUAAUUAUUUCUCGAGUUUCCUUUAUAUUUGGCCACUACUUUUCUGAUUAUGAAUUAUUUGUCUGAAAUUUUCUCGCG